AGCGAACGCUGGCGGCAGGCCUAACACAUGCAAGUCGAACGAGACCUUCGGGUCUAGUGGCGGACGGGUGAGUAACACGUGGGAACGUGCCUUUAGGUUCGGAAUAACUCAGGGAAACUUGUGCUAAUACCGAAUGUGCCCUUCGGGGGAAAGAUUUAUCGCCUUUAGAGCGGCCCGCGUCUGAUUAGCUAGUUGGUGAGGUAAUGGCUCACCAAGGCUACAAUCAGUAGCUGGUCUGAGAGGAUGGCCAGCCACAUUGGGACUGAGACACGGCCCAAACUCCUACGGGAGGCAGCAGUGGGGAAUCUUGCGCAAUGGGCGAAAGCCUGACGCAGCCAUGCCGCGUGAAUGAUGAAGGUCUUAGGAUUGUAAAAUUCUUUCACCGGGGACGAUAAUGACGGUACCCGGAGAAGAAGCCCCGGCUAACUUCGUGCCAGCCGCCGCCGUAAGAC
rnacentral:rRNA from 1 species